rnacentral:lncRNA from 1 species
AAUUGGAAGCGAUUUUUUUGCCAAUACGCUAAAAACGCUUCCAGCUGGAAGCAUUUUCGUUAUUUUGGCCCAAUCCCAUAAUUUUACAAAAAAAAAGCCUAAUCCAGUAAUUAUUUUAAAAAUCGAGAUUUUUUAUAACGUUUUUGUUAUUUCGGCCCAACCAUGUAAUUUUACAAAAAAAAAAACCAACCCAAUCUAGUUAUUAUUUUAAAAAAAUCAAGAUUUUUCAUAAAUUAACUCGUAUGAGACGGCCUUCCAAUACCUUUCUUUUAUUCUGAUUCUUUUCUAUUAUUUAUUUUUGCCUACGCAAUAUUACGUCAGGCCCCUUUCAAUUUUCAUUUUUCUAUUUUUAAUUAAUCUUUGUUAAACCUUUAAUCUAAAUUUCCUAUUUAGCUUUAGGUCGAUAGCCAAUCAGGUAGAGACUCGUGAGAUCCUAAACCGCACCUAAAAACUUUCAUAUUGGUAUUUGUUACUUCUUCAAUUUAAGAGAUAGACAUCGUCAUCUCAUAAAGUUGUAUUGACACUGUACAGCCCAAUUUUGGGCCCAAACUAAAAAACCCUAAGCCCAAUUACAGCCCAUAACCUAAACAGAGAACAGAAACCCUAGGAGCCGCCUCUGCCCCCUGUCCCAUCGCACCAUGCCUGCUCCACCGCCCUUGUCAGCCACCUGCUCCUCAACUUGCUCCAAUCGCCUGCACGAAGAAAGAUAGCAAAUAAAUGUUGUAACAAAUCGGCUAUAAAGCCGAAUAGAAACCAAUGUAAAAAGGGGGGCCUUUUCUUGAAAAAAAGAAUAAAAAAAAAGAUCUAUCAAUAACAGAGAUUAAUCAAAGAAACAUUUCAAAGGUUUCAUUUUUUUCUAUCUUCGUUAUCUAUUUUUUUUUCGAAUCUAUCGCAUAAACGUAUACAAAAGGGAAAGUUUUACCGGGAUUCGGCGUUGAUACCCUUGGCACACGCUUUUCUGGUUCGAAAGAUGACGGAUCCCUAGAGAUCCGGUUAAAGCUUCGACGGAAGAAGCCAAAAGUCAAGGCGUUUUCGUUGUUUUAAGAGGCUUUGGGGUUUAGUUUAUGGUUUUCUAAGUCUUAAAUCUUCUUCUAUGUAAAAAAGGGGUUCAAAGGAGGGAGUUUUGAGCUUCCAGGCCACCGCGUACGGCCACGACGACCAUUGACCGGAGCUAGGUCGGAGACUGAGAGGGGGAGAGAAUUUCAAAGCUUCAUUCUUUUUUUUUCUGAAGUAAGAAAGAAAUGAAUUUUUUUAAAAAAAAAUGGUUUAAAUAACCUUAGUGAAACGACACCGUUUCACUUAGGCCCCCAUAGUAUAAAACGGCGCCGUUUCAAUGAAGUGACCCGAUGACCCGACCCGGCCAACAGAGGAUCCGCGUCUUUCUGCUAAGCGGGAUAAUCGCGCGCGUAGUCCUUCCGCAUUUUUGUUUCUUUUAAUUUAAUCCCUUUUUAUUUUCCUUUUGUUUUUAGAUUUUUCCUUAGAUUUUGCGCACUUUUCAAAUUGGUCCACGUUAAAACGUUUCGUUUCGGGGUUUGGUUUAUUUUCAUUUUUCAUUCCUAUUAGUUUAUGCGCGCCCUAUUUUAGUCCCUAAUAGCUUCUAUUAUUUACGAUUUUUAUCCCGCAAUUUUACUUUGAUUUUAAUUCUGUCCUCAAACUCUUACUUUAAAUCGUUUUGUUAUAUUAUUUUAAAUAUCAUUUAUUUUAGGCUUUUGUGUGCAAUAUUUAUUUUAAACUUUUACAUUGUAUAUAUUUUGAAUUUGUC